AAUUCCAUUAAAAGAUUAAAUGUAUAAAAUAAUUGUUCAUAAGGGACCUUUAUCUAAGGAACGUUCUGUCUAGACGAGGGUAUUUAAGUUGACGGAAACAGAACACCUCCACCUGAGAACCGACUUGGAAGGUGAAUUGGGCAAAUAUUUUAUAAGCAUGCUAUAGGUGAUUGAUUUUAUUAAAGAGUUUAAUAAAUGAAAUCAAGUAUUAUUAAAACAUUCAAUAUAAAUGUUAUAUUGAGUAAAUUUAAAAUGACUUAAGAUUUAUUACUCGAAGUUUAACUAUAAAACCCUAAAGAUAAUAGAAUACUUUAGUGGGAGAAAAAUAGUAUAUGGGAUAUAUCAAUUUUUAGCUCUCACGUCUCUAAAUGUUCACACCGUGAGAUCCAUGCUCAACUUCUUGUCACCCUGGGCACGACCUCCUUACGGAAAGUGUUUGCAUGGGUCAAUAUCAAGGUGAACAGGGAAAGUAUUCAUAGUAAAUGGGAGAAUGAUGCAUGUCAAUAUAUCCUAUGAUCUCCUGCAUUAGGUUGCACUGUGAGAGUUCUAUGGUCUGUCUGUAUGUCGUCCUAGAGCGACCAUCCCUCAGAGGGCCUGAUCAUAGAAUUGGAACAACGUAAACUCCAGUAAUGGAUAGAGUUUCUUAGGUUAAUCUUCAACAGUUGUCUUUCCCUUUGAUAGCCUGUUGAAGCAUACCUCUGGGAUCCGAAAAUGGUAAGGUCACAUUGACUGAACAAUGGUAGAAGAGAAUGCCUUAAGUAUUACAAAAUGAACCUUAAGGACUAAACUUUAAGCUUGGGUUAAGUAAAAGUUUUAAAUGAUAAAAUUUGACUAAGUGUUGGUGUGUGGUAUGUGAUUAAAAGACAAUUGAGGUUAAGUGUGGAGCAUGCGGCCAACCAUUGGAGGUUAAGCAAAGCCAUGUUGGACGCAUGGUGAGGGAAAUGGUUAGGCAGACAUAAAGGCAUGUUGGAUGCAUGGUGUAGUUGGUCAAGCUAUUUGAGGUUAGGAAUGGAAUGGUCGAGCAUAGCUAUACGUUGUAGGGCCUCAGUCAUGUGUUGAAGUAGCUCGGGUAUGCGUUGAUAGGUUACUAUGUGUUAAUGUUGAAACCAUGUGCUAAGUGUUUUGAGGUAGUUGGUCGCGUAGAAAGGCAAGGGAAAGCCCAUGCGACAAGGCUAAGCGAUGAUUAGCUCAAUCGAGUUUAAGAUAGGCUUCACAGGGGCAUUGUGUAAGGAUGGUUAGGCGUGGAGUUAAAGCAUGUGAUGAAGUAUGUGGUGAUCUUGGCUAAGGGGACUUAUACACCAAUGGGGUAGGCGACGAAGUAGGGUGUACUAUGGACUUGAGGUUAGUAUGGGCACAUAGGAGGGAUGCGAUGGCCAAACCAUGCGACCAUGGUGAGUGGUGUAUGUGUUGACAAAGGAGAACUUGGAGAGCAAGUCUGAAGUGCUAGCUCGUCCGGACAUGUGGCUAAUUAGGGGAAGUCUGGGAUCUCAUGCAAAUUGAGGUGGACGCCUGAGAAGACAUGCAAGGGAGGACAUAUGCAUUGGCUAAGGGAAAGGAAGACACAUCAGUGUCAAUGUGGCAAAGGGUUGCGUUGGCAGCAUGAAAAGGGAACACUUGGUCAAGCAACCAAGUAGGAGGUGUCGAGCUCAGAGGAACUUUGGACCCCUAUAAAUAGGAUGUUUUGGGACGAAGGACUCUCACAAGUCACUCGGGCAAUUCGAGUGAAAUUAGUGUCAAAAUUCUAAGAAAAGAGUGUAGUGAGAAGUCCCGGGCUACCAUUGCGUUUGGAGUUCUGUAGUAGAAGGAAUUUGCGUUGAUAGCUAAGUGGUCCAGUUGAUCGCAUAGGCUGUCGCCUAGUAGCCCUAUUGCGCGUCUUUGCUAGCCUAAGCGCGCGCCCCUUGCUAGACGCGCAUUCAGAGGAAUUCACGCCAGCGCGCACGGACGCAUCUCAGCGCAUGCCUGCGCGCGCUGCAUCGCCCAGCUUGCACGCGAUCAGGCAGGCACACGCUCAGACACCUAGCAUUGCCUAUGCGAGAGUUGCCGCUCAUCAGCGUGCCUCCCUUCCCACCUACGCGCAUAGACACGCCCACUUGCUGCCCAGUGCCCUACAACUUGCCAAAAUAACCUCCAAAGGGUUGUUUUGGAGAAGUUGAGCCUAUUUUUGGUUAUUUUAAAGGAGGAGAAAUUCAAGGAAACGGGGCUAGGAGCUGGUUAAGGGAAUUCCUGAAGAAUAGAACAAGAGGAACUGUAGCGGAAGUGGAUCGUUCUAGGAAAAGCCACAUGAGGUCUGAACUGGUACUAUCUCACAGGGUGGGACUCGGAUCAUGUCAACUGGAAGUCAUUAGGAUAGUUAGGUUAAAACAAGAAAAAUAGUAUGUGUAAUCAUUUAUAAAUUAUUAAUGAGUUAUAAUGUUUGUUUGUUAGCCUAGCUAUUAAGUUGGUGAAGUCGGGCAGUUGAUAUCACAAAAGGGUGGUGUUAAUUGUCUUUACAUCCUCUUUCGGGUUUGGAUGAUAAGGCUCGGGAGGGGGUGUGACAAUCAUGCGAGGUGAAAAUCUAACUUGAAUAUGAUUCUAGUUAAAGAUGAUCUAUGGUUUGUCUUAAUGGAGAAAUGUCCUGCAAUCCCCGCUUAUAAUGCAUCCCAAGCAUUGAAGGAUGUUAUGACCGCUGUACGAAGACCAAUGAUAAUGUCCGAGUCUAUAUCUUGACAAGUCUGUCUGACGUUCUUACCAAGAAAUAUGAGGUCAUGAUCACUGUACGUCAGGUCAUGGAGACCCUCCAAAAGAUGUUUGGACAACCGUCCUCUCAAAUCUGGCACGAAGCCCUCAAGUAUGACUAUAACACCCGUGUAAAGGAAAGCCAAUCAGUCAGAGAACAUGUUCUCAGUCUGAUGGUCCACUUCAAUGUCGUCGAGACGAACGUUGCGAUCAUCGACGAGCAGAGUUAGGUGUCCUUUAUUUUAGAAUCUCUUCUCAAGAGUUUUCUUCAA